GGUGCGGAGCAAUAAGGUUGUUGGGGCGGUUUGCAGGACUGUUAAGUGCCGGUUCAAUUCCGGCCCGCGCCU
rnacentral:tRNA from 1 species